rfam:Oryctolagus cuniculus chromosome 1, whole genome shotgun sequence.
GAUUCAAAAGAUGGUGAACUAUGCCUGGGCAGGGCGAAGCCAGAGGAAACUCUGGUGGAGGUCCGUAGCGAUCCUGACGUGCAAAUCGGUCGUCCAACCUGAGUAUAGGGGCUAAAGACUAAUCGAACUAUCUAGUAGCUGG